rnacentral:sRNA from 3 species
GGCGGCGUGCUGCUGAGCCCGUUUCUGAUUUAUGUGCUGCUGGCGCUGGUGCUCACCGGGGUGUUGCGCUUGUUGGUGCAAGCCACGCCGUUGGGUCGCUGGAUCUGGCAUGAAGCGCUGUUCGACGCGGCGUUG